GAUUAACGCUGGCGGCGUGCAUAACACAUGCAAGUCGAACGAUGAAACUUUUUUGAUUUCUUCGGAAUGAUUAAAAGUGGAUUAGUGGCGGACGGGUGAGUAACGCGUGAGUAACCUGCCUUAGAGAAGGGGAUAGCCUUUGGAAACGAAGAAUAAUACCCUAUGAAACCAUAACCUCGCAUGAGGAAUUGGUCAAAGAUUUAUCGCUCUAAGAUGGACUUGCGUCUGAUUAGUUAGGUGGUGGGGUAACGGCCCACCAAGACAGCGAUCAGUAGCCGGCUUGAGAGAGUGUACGGCCACAUUGGGACUGAGACACGGCCCAGACUCCUACGGGAGGCAGCAGUGGGGAAUUUUGCACAAUGGGGGAAACCCUGAUGCAGCGACGCCGCGUGAUUUAGAAGGCCUUCGGGUUGUAAAAAUCUUUUCUAUGGGAAGAAAAUGACAGUACCAUAGGAAUAAGGACCGGCUAAUUACGUG
rnacentral:rRNA from 1 species